ACCGGUCCAAAUGCGUCUUAUACUCUUUGCUCUUCUCAUCAAACUGGUCUGCACCAAAUGAGGAAACACAUGGCCUAAUACCAGCAGCACCGAAUCCGGUUAUGUAAAGAACCGUGUAGAGGUAAAGCAUCUGCCAAGAUUUAGCUGGUUGGCAGUUUCCUAAGAGCAAUGAUAACUGGUCACAGUUGCUUUGGUCUGGUACAAACAUCUUCAAACUUGCCCCCAGUGUUAUCCCUAUCAACCCCUUCUCACAGACCAAAACAAAUAAUAUAUUAGGAACCAUCUUUUAGCAUUUACAUCCAAAGCAGCCAAACAUGUCUCUAGUACUUACCAGAAGAUACAUGGUAGUGAAAAUGGCAAUGGUCCAGUACCGGCCCAAGUAUGCAUCAGCCAAGAAGCCUCCAAGAACAGAAGAGGCCUGAGAGAUGCCAAGGAAGUUGUUGACUGCGUUUGAAGAACUCUCAAAAGGUCUAUGCAUCACGUAGAACAUAAAGGCCACCAUGUUGACUGAUAAUCCAAAGUACGCCAUUCUCUCUGCCAUUUCAUUUCCUAAGAUCGCAACCAAACCAAAACGUAAAGCUUCAAGUAGAAGAACUAUAUACUGAUAUUUAAGAAAAAAAUGUAUACAAAAAAGUUACCAAAAAUGAAGAGAGCAGCGAUCCAACCACCGGUUUUAGAAAGAUUAGCGAUGGGUUUGCCAUGGAUGUUAACAGGAGUGGUGCCACCAGUAUAGCCACGGCCAAGAGCAAGACGUCUGUUAUCUGAUUCCAAGAAGAACACACUCAACUCCUUCCUAUGCACUGAAGAGCUUGAACAACCUCCUGGCGUCAACGGGGAUUUAAUCUCUGAUACAACCAUGUUGGAUGUGCUCUCUCAUAAAACCAUGGAACUAGGAGUCUCUUGCAGUGAGGAAAUAAAAGCAAUAAUUGAUAUAACCAAAACACAAUCCGUAAGAAGAAAGUGACGUUUGAGGAUUGGUUAGAGAAAUGUAUAAAUGCAGUUAGCUUGGAAUUGAAAGAAGGGAAUUAAAUAGACGGAGCUAGCUGGUGAGUGGUGUCAGUAGAGUGGAUGCAUUAACUGCACGUGGGAGUCCCAAGGACCCCAUACUAUUGUUGACAGUUUAAAACGUUCAAGAGGGGUAUCAUGUUUCUUGAUAUAUACAUUUACAGAAGUGACAUCAAAGCCAUUGCUUGGUUUGUAACUUGGAAGACAUAAAUUUGAUUGAAAGGGCUUUUGUACAAUGCGUAACUGCAUCUUGUUUUGUUUUUGGUUUUUGUUUUCAGUCAACAUUAAUGGCGACUCUGACACUGAACUGAACAGACAUUGGCAGCUAUACAAUAAAGUCAAACAACAGAAGCUAACACUGGUUUGUGUUCAUAUUUAAUUAGAUAGAGAUUACUGAAACCUAUUCAUACCAAACCCUGUGCAAGUAGCCAACUACUAGGACAUUAGCUACACUGGUCUAUUUUGGUAUUUUGAAUAGGAUCACAUUUUCAAAUUAUUAUUACAAGUUCUUCAAGCUUAUAAAUGAGAACUUAACAGCAACUAGCACCUGAGCAACCCUUGUCAAGGGACUACCACCAGGCAACCUAUGGCGGUAAAGCGGUGUGCCAGCAAAGAACAAAGCAUUAGAAAUAGCCAUAGCUAUUGCCAAUGUGCCAAAAGCCAUACCCCAACCAUGUUCCAUCUGAACAUACACUACCAAAGUGAAGGCAAUGAUUGCACCUAGAGUGACCGACAAAUAGAAGAAGUUGAAGAACCGGUCCAAAUGCGUCUUAUACUCUUUGCUCUUCUCAUCAAACUGGUCUGCACCAAAUGAGGAAACACAUGGCCUAAUACCAGCAGCACCGAAUCCGGUUAUGUAAAGAACCGUGUAGAGGUAAAGCAUCUGCCAAGAUUUAGCUGGUUGGCAGUUUCCUAAGAGCAAUGAUAACUGGUCACAGUUGCUUUGGUCUGGUACAAACAUCUUCAAACUUGCCCCCAGUGUUAUCCCUAUCAACCCC
rnacentral:lncRNA from 1 species